rnacentral:rRNA from 1 species
GAUGAACGCUGGCGGCGUGCCUAAUACAUGCAAGUAGAACGCUGAAGCUUGGUGCUUGCACCGAGCGGAUGAGUUGCGAACGGGUGAGUAACGCGUAGGUAACCUGCCUCUUAGCGGGGGAUAACUAUUGGAAACGAUAGCUAAUACCGCAUAAAAGUCGAUAUCGCAUGAUAUUGAUAUGAAAGGUGCAAAUGCAUCACUAAGAGAUGGACCUGCGUUGUAUUAGCUAGUUGGUGAGGUAACGGCUCACCAAGGCGACGAUACAUAGCCGACCUGAGAGGGUGAUCGGCCACACUGGGACUGAGACACGGCCCAGACUCCUACGGGAGGCAGCAGUAGGGAAUCUUCGGCAAUGGGGGCAACCCUGACCGAGCAACGCCGCGUGAGUGAAGAAGGUUUUCGGAUCGUAAAGCUCUGUUGUAAGAGAAGAACGAGUGUGAGAGUGGAAAGUUCACACUGUGACGGUAACUUACCAGAAAGGGACGGCUAACUACGUG